CUGCCAUGAUGAUUAUGGAUAAAUGUCUGAACUGCUGGCUCCCUGUUCUAUUCAUGUGACUCUCACCCUGCUGUGGCCUGCACUCCAGUCCCUGACACAAGGCAAGUCCUCACUGAUGCAGAAAAUCCCUGCUCAACUAGCCUUGACCUUGGAGAAAGCCCCUGACCUCUGAGCGGACAGAAAGCCUUGCAGUCAGCACCCGGGAGCCUGGAGCCUGCAUGGCUGGAGCGCUCAGCAAGUCUGCAGAGCCGAGCCUUGUGGGAGCUGAAGAAUAAGAGCGGGCCUGCUACACUGUGGCCCACUCUGAGAAAGGGAGAGGCUAGGAGGAAACCUGCUGGGUGGGGUUCUGGCUGGGACUCCUCUGGAAUUCUCAGGGCGGAUGCCAGGCCCAGCUUGGAGACUCUGCUGGGCAGGGCUUCCAUGCCUGAUUCUUGAGUCCCUCGGGUGAACAGAUUCUCCCUCGCUCUGCCAAGGGGAAAGAACGAACUGUCAGGAUUCUAAGUCUGUGCCCCCUCGACAGUCAUUUCACUUCUAAGAAUUUCCUCUCCAGAGAAGUGCGCACAUCAUGCCAAAUGAAGUCUAUAAAGACAAGCGAGGCAGCGGAGACUCGAGACAGAAUGGCUUUGCGUUUCAAAAGUGUCGUGGAUCUGGACAAUGAGCACUCCAUCUUUUAUAAUAAUGGCAAAGUGCCAUGCCAGUUGAAGUGGGAACACCUCCAAAUGUAUUCUUAAGUUUAAAAAAAAUAGAAGAAGUCAUCGUGCCACGUGGCUCUCUGUGAUGUAAGAUCGGACAUGUGCGUGUCAUCUCCUAGAGACUAGAAUGGUGGUUAUCUCUGGGAAGGGAGCAAGUGGGACUCACUUCCCAGAGCAGCCUGCCCCUUUUCUAAUUUGUGCUGGUUGUGUAUCUACCUGUCAGACUCUCUCUGUUAGAAAUGUGGACUCCACCACUGACCUGGUGUUCACAAAGAUGAAGAACCAGUGCCAACCGUGACUCCCACUCUGCCUCCAGGAGACCGUGAACUCCUUAGAUACAAAAAACAGUGACAGGGUGCCCACUGGGACUGGCUUAAGCUACAAACAGAGGCUAAGUACCAAACAAUGACUGCCACGGAGAAUGCCACGGAGAAUGACUGCCACGGAGAAUGACCGCCACGGAGAAUGACUGCCACGGAGAAUGACUGCCACAGAGAAUGACUGCCACGGAGAAUGAAUGACUGCCACGGAGAAUGAAUGACCACCACGGAGAAUGAAUGACCACCACGGAGAAUGACCGCUAUGGAGAAUGACUGCCACGGAGAAUGACUGCCACAGAGAAUGACCACCAUGGAGAGAAUGACCGCCAUGGAGAGAAUAACCGCCACAGAGAGAAUGAUUUCCACGGAGAAUGAAUGACUGCCACGGAGAAUGACCGCCACGGAGAAUGACUGCCACAGAGAGUGACUGCCACAGAGAAUGAAUGACUGCCACGGAGAAUGACUGCCACAGUUAGGCACAUGGCGGGGUUCACAUGCCCUCUGCUCCGGCUCCAAAGACAGCAGCCCUUCUCUUGGGAGUGUGGCUCGCCCACUUUGGGCCGAGAGCUGCACUUACUGUGUUUCCAGCUCUUAUAUUUGGAUUCCCUCUUCUUUUUUCCUUUUUGACAGAGGGUCUCACUGUGUAUCCGUGGCUGCCCUGGAACUCUACAUAGGCCAGGCUGGGCUUGAUACAGCCCUCUGCCUCCUGAGUGCAGGGCUCAAGUGGGGAGUCUUGGUUUUAUUUUUUUUUCAUGUGUGUGAGUGUUUUGCCUGUCUAUAUGUUUGACGCCACAUCUGUGCCUGGUGACACUGGAGGUCAGAAUUGGACAUUGGCUCCCCUGGAACUAGAGUUACAGGUGAUGGCGAGCCACCACGCAGGUACUGGGAACUGAACCUGGGUCCUCUGCACAGGCGGCAGCCUCUCAUCCCUGAGCCAGCUCUCCAGCCCUCUCCAUCCUCCUCAUCUCUGUCAGUUUCUCCAUCUCUCCCCAAACCUCUAGCUUCCCUUUUCCCUCCCAGGUCUGAGGCUGUUAUCCUCUGCCUCCCGCACCCCCAGCAGGACUGGCUUUGGGACAGCCAACGGCACCCCCUGAGGAUGUGUGCCCCUGGUUUGCCUUUCACAGAAUUGCUCCCACCUUUCUCUGCACACAGCCCAGCCAGGCUCCUUGGGCUGCCAGCAGCUCGGCUCAGAUCCGUUCCCAGCAUCCAUUUCCCACUGUGUUGUCUCAUUCCUUUACUCACAGAGUCUCAGAAAGGGGCCCACUAGCCUUCACAGUACCUUUACAAUCCCACCAGGACCUCUGUCCCUCUGGCCAUCAUGGCCUCCCUUCUUGCAUGUCCGUCAGACAGCUUCCUUCCCUUUCCUGUCUGAGAAGCAAGUCUCUCUCAGGACAGAAGCGAAAGGACCUCCUGGCAUGCUCACAGUUCACUGUGGCUCUCUCUGACUUACAGGUGGCCUUGCCCUGAAUCAACCUGUAUUGCUCAGGUGUGAGAUACACACAGAACUUAACUGCUUCUGGAUGCAGACUUCUGGAUUUUGAUUGCUUCCCUACCAGCUGUGUAAUUAAAUGUUAGGACCAUGACAAAGUCACUUAACCCCUCCAGGCCUCGUUUGACUCAUCUGCAAAAAGGAGGGAGUAGCAACUCUGUCCUAUAGGGCUGUCAUGAGGCUAAAAAGGUACAGCAUACCCAAUGCAGAGCCUGGUCCACAUCCAAUUCUUAAGUUAUUUUUAAUCCAGAGAGAGACUUGGCUUUGGAAUCGUUCUUCUAGAUGCCAUGCCUGCAGGUGUACCAGGUACUGGGGGUGUCAGCCGAAACCUAGUGUAUGGAGACUGUAGCUGUGUGACCAGUGAGCGUGUGUGCACGAGAGGACUCCACCACGUUUGAGUGACAUCUGCUCAUCUGGUCCUGGGCCACAGGCAGUGUGAGAGGUACCACUCUGCUAUUCUAUGACACACAUUAGAGAGCUUCGCCAAAGCCACACCAGAGGCUCUCCCAGAAGUUUCCACAAACCAUCGAGAUCCAGGGCUGGCAAAUUUUCCCAACAAAGGGCCACAUGGCACAUCCUUUCUGCUUUGUGGUUCAUAUGUUGUCUUUCUUGUAUUUCACUGCGUGUGGGGUGUGUGUGUGUACCCACAGAAGACAGAGAAGUUGUUUUUAUUUUAUUUUAUUUUAUUCCCCGGAGGCAGAGUCUCCCACUGAACCUAGGCUGACUGGCAGGUGAGGUCGUAGGAUCCACCCGCCUCUGACCCCCAGCACUGGGUUACAGCCAUGCACAUCUUUUCCCAUGGGGUCUGGGGACUUGAACUCAGAUCCUCAGGCUUGCACAGCAAGGCUCUUACCCACUCAGCCAUCUCCUACCGCCUCACAACUUUUGUUGUUGUUGUUGUUUUUUUGUUUUUGUUUUUUUUU